rnacentral:rRNA from 1 species
ACAGGAUUAGAUACCCUGGUAGUCCACGCCGUAAACGAUGUCGACUUGGAGGCUGUUUCCUUGAGAAGUGGCUUCCGGAGCUAACGCGUUAAGUCGACCGCCUGGGGAGUACGGCCGCAAGGUUAAAACUCAAAUGAAUUGACGGGGGCCCGCACAAGCGGUGGAGCAUGUGGUUUAAUUCGAUGCAACGCGAAGAACCUUACCUACUCUUGACAUCCACGGAAUUUGGCAGAGAUGCCUUAGUGCCUUCGGGAACCGUGAGACAGGUGCUGCAUGGCUGUCGUCAGCUCGUGUUGUGAAAUGUUGGGUUAAGUCCCGCAACGAGCGCAACCCUUAUCCUUUGUUGCCAGCGAUUCGGUCGGGAACUCAAAGGAGACUGCCGGUGAUAAACCGGAGGAAGGUGGGGAUGACGUCAAGUCAUCAUGGCCCUUACGAGUAGGGCUACACACGUGCUACAAUGGCGCAUACAAAGAGAAGCGACCUCGCGAGAGCAAGCGGACCUCAUAAAGUGCGUCGUAGUCCGGAUCGGAGUCUGCAACUCGACUCCGUGAAGUCGGAAUCGCUAGUAAUCGUGGAUCAGAAUGCCACGGUGAAUACGUUCCCGGGCCUUGUACACACCGCCCGUCACACCAUGGGAGUGGGUUGCAAAAGAAGUAGGUAGCUUAACCUUCGGGAGGGCGCUUACCACUUUGUGAUUCAUGACUGGGGUGAAGUCGUAACAAGGUA